AUGAACAAAGCUAGUGGAGGUGAUGGAAUUCCAGUUGAGCUAUUUCAAAUCCUGAAAGAUGAUGCUAUGAAAGUGCUGCACUCAAUAUCCCAGCAAAUGUGGAAAACUCAGCAGUGGCCACAGGACUGGAAAAGGUCAGUUUUCAUUCCAAUCCCAAAGAAAGGCAAUGCCAAAGAAUGCUCAAACUACCGCACAAUUGCACUCAUCUCACAUGCUAGUAAAGUAAUGCUCAAAAUUCUCCAAGCCAGGCUUCAACAAUACGUGAACCAUGAACUUCCUGAUGUUCAAGCUAGUUUUAGAAAAGGCAGAGGAAUCACAGAUCAAAUUGCCAACAUCCACUGGAUCAUGGAAAAAGCAAGAGAGUUCCACAAAAAUAUCUAUUUCUGCUUUAUUGACUAUGCCAAAGCCUUUGACUGUGUGGAUCACAAUAAACUGUGGAAAAUUCUGAAAGAGAUGGGAAUACCAGACCACCUGACCUGCCUCUUGAGAGAUCUGUAUGGAGGUCAGGAAGCAAUAGUUAGAACUGGACAUGGAACAACAGACUGGUUCCAAAUAGGAAAAGGAGUGCGUCACGGCUGUAUAUUGUCACCCUGCUUGUUUAACUUAUAUGCAGAGUAUAUCAUGAGAAACGCUGGACUGGAAGAAACACAAGCUGGAAUCAAGAUUGCCGGGAAAAAUAUCAAUAACCUCAGAUAUGCAGAUGACACCACCCUUAUGGCAGAAAGUGAAGAGGAGCUAAAAAGCCUUUUGAUGAAAGUGAAAGAGGAGAGUGAAAAAGUUGGCUUAAAGCUCAACAUUCAGAAAACGAAGAUCAUGGCAUCCGGUCCCAUCACUUCAUGGGAAAUAGAUGGGGAAAUAGUGGAGACAGUGUUAGACUUUAUUUUUUUGGGCUCCAGAAUCACUGCAGAUGGUGACUGCAGCCAUGAAAUUAAAAGAUGCUUACUCCUUGUAAGAAAAGUUAUGACCAACCCAGAUAGCAUAUUCAAAAGCAGAGAUAUUACUUUGCCGACUAAGGUCCAUCUAGUCGAGGCUAUGGUUUUUCCUGUGGUCAUGUAUGGAUGUGAGAGUUGGACUGUGAAGAAGGCUGAGCGCUGA
rnacentral:lncRNA from 1 species